ACUGCUGAAAUAUCCAAGCUUAGCUGACCUCCAAAAAAACCGUGCAUCAUCAGAAAUGGCUAGUCCUUGAAUGGGAAAUCAACAGAAAAUCCAGGGCUGAAGUCACACAACUGUGUCCAUGUAAUCUCCAGAAAUUGAACUCAAGGUAUAUCUUCUUCUUAAAACUGUAGUGAGUGAACAACUGUCUGUCACAAACAGAAAGUCCUGUCAGACUACAUUGGCUGCCAACCUAAGAGACAGGAGCAAGGAGAGCCAUUUGCUUCUGAAGCUGAAGAGGGAUUAGAAGCAGACAGGAUGGCUAACGGGAAGAAGGAAGAAAGGAGCCUGUUUGGGAUGAGGUAAUUGCAACAGGGAAAGAUUGAAGGCAAACAAGGUUCAGGCAGAAGAACAAGAACAUGGCUUCAAAACCUAAGGGAUUGGUUUGGACAAAACUCAGCAGCGCUUUUUCAUCUGGCUUUGACAAAAAUAGAAUUGCCAACAUGAUCGUCAACGUCCGAUGACGGAUAUAGCACAAGAAGAAGAAGAGUACCUCUCCACAUUACACUAACUCCUGCUAUGGAAAAAUCCCAAAUUGGGAUUUGAUAAGGGAAAAGAUUUUAUAAUGGUAACUAUAUUAGAAGGUAUAUAAAAUAUAUCUUCUAAAUAA